UCCCUGGUGGUCCAGUGGUUAAGACUUCGAGCUCCCAAUGCAGGGGGCCUGGGUUCAAUCCCUGGUCAGGGAA
rfam:Ovis aries breed Texel chromosome 11, whole genome shotgun sequence.